CACAGAUUGAUUUGUCAGACAGCCAAAGGAGGCACCAGCCUUGCCACGUGGCUUUCCAGCCCGACGGAGCCAGAGCAUUUGGGGCUGCUACACCAGGGGCUUUCCAGGCGGCUCCAACCAACCCCAAACAAAUUCACAGCUCGGGGAGGGGGGGGGGACACGACACCGGGCUCGCGGCUUUACGUGGCGCCACAGGAAUGUCCGUGGAGACCCGUGCACCCCCGAGCAGGGACACGAGCCACUAAACCUGUCGAGGCAACGCAGAGCCCACGGGCACCCCGCUUUGUUGCUUCCCAGUUUUGCACCCCGGGCCAACGGCGGGGAGUUUUACCCCGAUCUUUAUGGGACAGAGGAGGGAGGAGAGCAGCAGCGGAGCCGCAGACCCGACAUCUCCCAUCGCAAAGAUAAAGAAGCAAAACCAAGGGCUGGAGGACGUUUGGGAAAGCCAAACAGGGGCUGGUUCACAAGGUGAAGACUAACGUGCGUACACACUGUUACGUAAUCUUUCUUCCUCCACGUUUCACUCCUGUCUGUAAACAGGUGGAGUGAGAAAUGGCAAACUCUUGCAUAACGGCAUAGCUCAAGUCUUAUCCCGUAAAUGAUUUACAGCACCUUGGACAAAAACAGCAGUGAAAUGUUUGCAAUGUGAAAGGCCGAGACUAUUUUUGCUCUUAAAUUCCUGCCAGAAGCAAGAUACGCCGUUUUAGGGAUACAAACAAAGUUCCUUGCACGCAGCAUUUCGAAUACGAGUGACCGCACCGAAAUAGUUGAAAGCACAAAUAAAAGAAAAAAGUCAAACAAAGUUGCUGUUCUGACUGGCAGGAGAGAUUUUGGACAAGAUGGGAGCAGAAAUGAAACACAGACUAAAGCAGCUUCUCAAGCUGAGAGCCAAGAGCGUGCCAGAGCCUCGAUUGUCACUCAGAGAGAUGUGUCAUCGGGCUCCGGAGCCUUAUUCCGCACACAGAAAACAUCCCAAAUCCCCCUAAGAUAUUGCCUGUCCUCUGCAAAGUUACGGUGGCCUCUCUCUUUCCUGAGGCCAGAAGCUGAAGCUGAGGUGCAGGAGGGGGUUUCUCCAGAACCAGCCCACGGCUCGGAGCCGCCUCACACCGCUCUCAACAGCCAGCGAAGCCCCAAGGGGCGUCUUCUGCCACCAACUGUCCUGCCCUGGCAGCCCAGGAGCGCUUCCAAGUCUCCAUCGUGAGGGGUGGAAAAGCUGAGGCUCGGGAGGGGAGCAGCUUGCCCAGGAGGCCACAGCAGAGCCAGGAACGGGCCCCAAAUACCUGAAUUCCAGGCUGGGGAAAGGCUGAUGGGAUUAUUCCCAAACGAUGGGCUCCUUCCCAGCACCAACACCUCCAGCACAGCCGGGAAAGCUGGAAACCUCACCCCCCUUCCUCGACUCCGUGCCCAUCUGAAGGGGCGCGGGCAGCAUCUGCAGGUUGGUGACAGCAGCGCUUUCUUGCUCAGAGCUCAAUCACUUUCCGUCCCCUAUUUGAUUUUAGGGGGGGGG